UGGGGAAUAUUGGGCAAUGGGCGCAAGCCUGACCCAGCAACGCCGCGUGAGGGAAGAAGGCUUUCGGGUUGUAAACCUCUGUCCUUGGUGACGAAAAAAAUGACGGUAGCCAAGGAGGAAGCCCCGGCUAACUACGUGCCAGCAGCCGCGGUAAUACGUAGGGGGCGAGCGUUGUCCGGAAUUACUGGGCGUAAAGGGUGCGUAGGUGGCCUUUUAAGUUGGAUGUGAAAUACCCGGGCUUAACUUGGGGGGUGCAUCUAAUACUGGAGGGCUAGAGUGCAGGAGAGGAAAGCGGAAUUCCUAGUGUAGCGGUGAAAUGCGUAGAUAUUAGGAGGAACACCAGUGGCGAAGGCGGCUUUCUGGACUGUAACUGACACUGAGGCACGAAAGCGUGGGGAGCAAACAG
rnacentral:rRNA from 1 species